rnacentral:rRNA from 1 species
UCGGGAAUUUUGCGCAAUGGACGAAAGUCUGACGCAGCAACGCCGCGUGAGGGAUGAAGGCCUUCGGGUUGUAAACCUCUUUUAUCAGGGAAGAUGAUGACGGUACCUGAUGAAUAAGUCACGGCUAACUACGUGCCAGCAGCCGCGGUAAUACGUAGGUGACAAGCGUUGUCCGGAUUUACUGGGCGUAAAGAGCGCGCAGGCGGUCGUUCAAGUCGAGUGUGAAAGCCCCCGGCUCAACUGGGGAGGGUCAUUCGAUACUGAUCGACUCGAAGGCAGGAGAGGGUAGUGGAAUUCCCGGUGUAGUGGUGAAAUGCGUAGAUAUCGGGAGGAACACCAGUGGCGAAGGCGACUACCUGGCCUGUUCUUGACGCUGAGGCGCGAAAGCUAGGGGGAGCAAACGGGAUUAGAUACCCCGGUAGUCCUAGCCGUAAACGAUGGACACUAGGUGUUGGUGGUAUCAACCCCGCAGUGCCGAAGCUAACGCAUUAAGUGUCCCGCUGGGGAG